GCGAGAAAUCAAACUUCGAACAGGACAAGCCCGAAGCCCGCUUCUCCGGGAGACGGGGUGCCACAAUUGCAAGGACCCUUGCUCCACAGAAUUCUUUGCCUGGAAUUUUCUUCCCAGAAUCUUUGCAUGUCAUUCCCUCUGUUGCUGAGUUACCGGGAUCUCAAUGUAAACGUUACGUACUGACAGAGGCUGCUGUGAACUGAAUUGCGUGCUUCCCAAAAUUCAUAUGUUGAUACUGUCACCCCCGGUACCUAAGGAUGUGACUACAUUUGGAGAUAGCAUCAUCAAAGAGGCAUGGAAUCCCAGGGAGCAUCCUGCACUCUCAGUGUCCAGCUGUCUGAGGCCACACUUGUUUCUGAUGAUAGAGAACAAUUGCUUUUUUCUGAGAGACUUAGCACUCCAUGGCUGAGGAGUUCUGCAAUAAAAUGCCUGCUUUCUCCACCAGAUGGUAUUCACAAAAAUAGCUCACAUUAUGUUUUGCUUGUUUGCAAGUCAACAAGAUGAGGUCACCGAAAAGGUCUAACUGAUUCUGUCUGCUCAGGAAUGUUUCAGGCUUGGUCUCCCUUUUAAUUUACCUCGUAAAUCAUUUUGUAAUUUUUAUCUCCUACCCAUUCUGUAACUUGUUAAUUACUUUUAUACACAUGUAAUAUCUUUUAUGUGUGAUUUCUAAGUAUAUUACUAGUGAACAUUGACUGUUACAAGGCAUACCUUGUCUUAUUGCAAUUUAUUGUGCUUCCCAAGUGUUGGAUUUCUUACAAAUUGAGGGGUUUUGGCAACCUUACCUUCAGUGACUCUGUCAACAAUAUUUUUUCCAACACCAUGUGAUCUGUGUGUGUGUGUGUAUCUUUGUCAGCAUUUUUAUCAAUAAAGUACAUUUUUUAUUAAGGUA